CCUACGGGUGGCAGCAGUAGGGAAUAUUGCACAAUGGGCGAAAGCCUGAUGCAGCAACGCCGCGUGAGCGAGGAAGGCCUCGGGGUCGUAAAGCCCUGCCGUCAGGGCAGAAAAUGACGGUACCCAAAGAGGAAGCACCGGCUAACUACGUGCCAGCAGCCGCGGUAAUACGUAGGGGGCCAGCGUUGUCCGGAAUCAUUGGGCGGAAAGGGGUCGGAGGCGGUUUGUUAAGUCCGGUGGUAAAGGGAGAGGCUGAACUUCUGGUCGGCACUGGAGACUGGGAAACUUGAGUGCAGGAGAGGAGAGUGGAAUUCCUGGUGUAGCGGUGAAAUGCGUAGAUAUAAGGAGGAACACCGGUGGCGAAAGCGGCUUUCUGGACUGUAACUGACGCUGAGGCACGAAAGCGAGGGUAGCAAACAGGAUUAGAUACCCGUGUAGUC
rnacentral:rRNA from 1 species